GGAAAGAUGGCUGAGUGGUCUAUGGCGUAGCAUUGGAAAUGCUAUGUAAGUAUUUGCUUACCGAGGGUUCGAAUCCCUCUCUUUCCU
rnacentral:tRNA from 1 species